rnacentral:rRNA from 1 species
UACAGAGGAGCCAAGCGUUGUCCGGAUUGACUGGGCGUAAAGCGCACGCAGGCGGUUGCGCGCGUGGGGUGUGAAAUCUGGCCGCUUAACGGCCAGGCGCCAUCCCAUACGGCGCGACUGGAGUGAUGCAGAGGUCGAUGGAAUUGCCGGUGUAGUGGUGAAAUGCGUAGAGAUCGGCAGGAACACCCAGGGGGAAACCAGUCGACUGGGCAUCUACUGACGCUGAGGUGCGAGAGCGUGGAGAGCGAACCGG